GUUUCCCCAAGACUGUAAAGCACAGAGUAGACAUGAUCAUGACAACACUUGGCUGUAUAUGACCGUCUCAGUUCUGAUCCAACCUCCAAGGCAGUCCACAUGUCUGCUCUUCUAGGACCUGCAUCCUGUGUACAAAGGCAAUUGUGGCAUAAUGGGAAGAGUGCUGAACAUGGACUAAGAGGACACAGUAUGUUGCUUCUAGGGAAGAGGAACCAUGCUAUAAUGGAGUCCCAAGGAUUUUGAAAAGAACAAAAGAAUAGUAAUAGAAGAAUGUAAGG
rnacentral:lncRNA from 1 species